GAUGAACGCUGGCGGCGUGCCUAAUACAUGCAAGUCGAGCGAACAGACGAGGAGCUUGCUCCUCUGACGUUAGCGGCGGACGGGUGAGUAACACGUGGAUAACCUACCUAUAAGACUGGGAUAACUUCGGGAAACCGGAGCUAAUACCGGAUAAUAUAUUGAACCGCAUGGUUCAAUAGUGAAAGACGGUUUUGCUGUCACUUAUAGAUGGAUCUCCGCCGCAUUAGCUAGUUGGUAAGGUAACGGCUUACCAAGGCAACGAUGCGUAGCCGACCUGAGAGGGUGAUAGGCCGCACGGGAACGGAGCCGCGGUCCAGGCUCCUACGGGAGGCCGCAGUCUCGAACGGUCCGCAAUGGGCGAAAGUUUUGCGGAGCAACCCCGAGCGAGUGAUGACGGCCCUCCGUUCGUAAUAAUGUCUUUCUAGGGAAGAACCACUGUGGAAGGAACCAUGCCGGUCGUGACGGUACCUAAUCAGAAAGCCCCGGCUAACUACGUG
rnacentral:rRNA from 1 species